UACGUAGGGUGCGAGCGUUGUUCGGAAUUACUGGGCGUAAAGGGCGCGUAGGCGGUGUGUCAAGUCAGGCGUGAAAGCCCCGGGCUCAACCUGGGAACCGCGCUUGAGACUGGCACGCUCGAGUUCGGGAGAGGAUGGUGGAAUUCCCAGUGUAGAGGUGAAAUUCGUAGAUAUUGGGAAGAACACCGAUGGCGAAGGCAGCCAUCUGGACCGACACUGACGCUGAGGCGCGAAAGCGUGGGGAGCAAACAGG
rnacentral:rRNA from 1 species